rnacentral:lncRNA from 1 species
CUGCUGAAAGGAAGAUGGUUGAUGCUUCUGAGCAAUGAAGGCCCCAUGGAGUCCUGGAUUCGGUGUGGCCUUGCAUCCGUGGUGCACCCCGUGCUGGUGGAUGGCUCAGGACGGGGCAGUUGCCAUGGGAGGCGCAGGCCUGCUGGAAGGAAGAUGGUCGAUUCUCCCAAGCAACAAAGGCCACGUAGAGUCCUGGUUUCAGUGUGGCCUGGUAUCCACAGUGCACCCCGUGCUGGUGGGUGGCUCAGGACGCACACUCAUUUCCUCUGCACCUUCCUGGUGUCAUUGGCAUGGAAGGAAGGCCCUUGUCCAAGAAGGAUGGUCUUCGUCUUGUGUGAUCUUUGAGAUGCCAUGAGGCCCCUGGAUACAAAUGGUGUGGGCUCCUUUGGAGGCUUUUGGAUUUCUCCUGAAUGUGGCGUUGGUAUGGAAGGAAGGCCAGUGACCGCAAGGGAUGACUUUGAUCUUGGGAGAUUUUUGGAGAUGGCAAAGUGCUUCUAAACAUGUUUGGCAUGGUCUCCUUCAGGCUGGUGGAUACCUCAGGAUGGUGGCGUUGGCAUGGAAGGAAGGACUGUGUCUGUGAGGGAUGAUCAUCCUCUCAUGUGAUCCUUGGAGAUGCCAGGAAGCCCCUUGACACAUGUGGCAUGGGCUCCUUCAGAGGCUUUUGGAUCCGUCGUGAAUGUGGCAUGGGCAUGCAAAGAAAGACAGAGGCUGCAAGGGAUAAACUUCAUCUUGGGAGAUCCCUGGAGAUGGCAGGGAACCCAUGGACACAUGUGGCAUGGGCUCCUUUGGGUGCCGGUGGAUCCCUUCAUACGGUAGUGUUGGUGUAAAAGGCAAACCCGUGUCAUGAGGGAUGGUCAUCAUCUUGUGUGAUCCUUGGAGAUGGCAGGAAGCCCUGGACAUACAUGGUGUGGGGGCUCCUCCAGAGGCUGUUGGGAUCCUCCUGGAUGUGGUGUGGGCAUGGAAGGAAGGCCAGUGGAGACAAUGGAUGAUCUUGUUCUUAGCAGAUCACUGGAUGUGGCAGGGAGUCCUAGGACAUGUGUGGUGUGGGCUUCUUCAGGUGCUGGUGGUGUUGGCAUGAGGAAAGGAGGUAUCUUCGAGGGACAAUCUUCUUCUUGUGCGAUCCUUGGAGAUGCCAUGAGGCCCCUGGACACAUGUGGUGUGGGCUCCUUUGGAGGCUGUUGUAUCCCUUCUGAAUGUGGCGUGGGCAUAGAAGGAAGGCCAGUGGCCACGAGGGACAAUCUUGGUCUUGGGAGAUCCUGGAAAUGAUAGGGAGUCCCUUGAUAUGUGUGGCAUGGGCUCCUUCAGGUGCUAGUGGAUUCCUUAGGAUGGUGGUGUUGGCAUGAAAGGCAGGCUUGUAUCAUGAGGAAUGAUUGUCAUCUUGUCUGAUUCUUGGAGAUGGCAGGAAGCCCCUGGAAACACAUGGUGUGGACUCUUUCACAGGCUGUUGAAACCCUCCUGAAUGUGAGGCCAGAGACAGGCAGACAGCAGAUGUAUUGCAGGGAGCUGGAUGACAUGGCCCUUGGAACCUGUGCACAUGCCUGCCUUUCUGAUGCACGUCCAUGUUUUCUCUGCACCUCCCCGGUGGUGUUGGUAUAAAAAGCAGGCUUACAUCAGCAAGGGAUGAUUGUCGUCUCAUGCGAUCCUGGGAGAUGGCAGAAGUCCCGGGACACAUGGAGUGUGGGCUCUUUCGGAGGCUGUUGGAUCCCUCCUGAAUGUGUUGUGGCCAUGGAAGUAAGGCCAGUGGCUACGAGGGACAGUCUUCAUCUUGGGAGAUCCCUAGAGAGGGCAGGGAGCCCCUUGACAUGUGGAAUGUGAUCUCUGUUGGGUGCUGGUGGAUCCCACAGGUGGUCUGGCAUGGAAGAAGGCCAGAGGCUGCGAUGGAUCAUCUUUGUCUUGGGAGAUUCCUGGAGAUGGUGGGGAGCCCCUGGGCACGUGCAGCAUAUGUGGCGUGGGCUUCUUCAGGUGCUGGUGGAUCCCUCAGGAUGCUUUUCAAGGUUUUUCUAUGAGUUCUGUUAAAGAGUCUGAAAAUGGAGCGUAGAAGACAUGCUUCGAUUUCCAGGAUGGUUGUGUUUUCCAGAGAGGCGGAGGUAAACCACUGGCGCAGCCCUGCCUCCCACAGAUAAUUCCGGGUGCAGUGUUUCAUAUCUAGACUUGGACUUCUAUCCUACCAUACUUCUUUGUGUGCAGUUCAUUGUGGAACCAGCACAGAUUUUCAUACGAAAGUUAUUUCUUUUUAACCUCAAAAAGUGACAGAAUGGAGUGUAUCAUGAAAAAGUCUGACAUCAAAACCUCAAAAUGUGAUAUUGAUUGGGUGAGAUAGAAUUCCAUGGAAUUUCAUUGCCAAACCAGUGAAGUGCUAAUUUUGACAUUUGUACCAGCUAACGUAGCUGUGAAGAAACACACCAAUACACUUCUAAGGACAGCAUAGACCAAGAUCUAGGUUUCAUAUGGAUGAAUUUAUUCUUCCCUUUGAGGCAAGACAAGAAGGAAAGAAAGUAUUGGGAAUAAUGCUGCCCUCCCAUCCUCAAGGGCCAGUGGGAACUCUAAUAUUGAUUGGGUGAGAUACAAUUCCAUGGAAUUUUACCACUGAACCAGUGGAGGGCUAAUUUUGUCAUUUGUACCAGUUAACUAACUUGGGAGGAAACAGAACAACACACUCCUGAGAUUGGUUUUCACAGAAUUCCAUGGACUUUAACUGCUGAACCAAUGAUGCACUGAUUUUGUCACUUGUACCAGCUAACGCAUCUGGGAGGCAACAAAACAAUACUCUCCUGAGGUUAAUGUGGACCAAAAACUAGAUUUCAUAUAAAAGAGUUUAUUCCUUCUACUUGAGGUGUGACAUGAAGGAAAGUAAUGGAAAUAAUUCUGCCCUCCCAUUCUCAAGGGCCAGGGGGAAUUCAAAUAUUGAACGGAAGUGAUUUUGGAAUUGCAUGGAAUUCUCACUGCCAUCCCAAAGAAAUGCUGAUCUUGUCACUCUUACCUGUUUCAUUCCCUGGGGGCAGAACAAAAGGACGCACUCCAAAGAUCGGCAUGAACCAAGAACUGGGUUUCAUAUAAAAUAUUUUAUUCUGUCCUCUUGAGAUGUGACAUGAGAAAAGUAUUGAGAAUACUUCUAUCACCUCAUCUUCAAGAAUCCGUAGGAAUUCUCCCAUGGUGGACUUUACGGUUAACCUGAACAGGUCUUGGAAAAAGGACUUUAAACAUUCUCCUGUUCUGUGGAAUAAGUAUACUUUUUUCUGGACAUACACCUUGUCAGUGAGUUCCAUGUGAUACUAGAGUUGCAUAGAUUUUUAACCUUUACGCCAAUGAAGAUCUGAGGCAAACAUUGCCCCUUUUUUAGAAGUUUGCAUUUGUCACUGAUAACUGUAAUAAUUGAUCUUGUUGAAAAGCCUGGGAAAUGAAGAUCUGAUAUGUCACUUUUACCGGCUUCCUCAACUGAAAAAGAAUACAAUGAAACACGCUGAGAAUUUUUGUGCUUUCUCAGUCUUGCUGAUGAUCUUUCUAUGGGCCUGAAGCGUGGAGAGUGCCAGAGAGGCUGAUCCUCAGCAGUGUGGCAGAGGAAAGUUGGGUGCGACUAAGGGGUAUGCGGUGCCCACAUGCCACUGGGUCCUCAGCAGUACCACCUGAUUGGAAGUGAUAUUGGUGGAAGACAACAUUUUGCCGCUUGGAAUUCUCACCUCCACACCAAAGAAGUACUGUUUUUGUCAUUUGCACCAGCUUCUUUCUCCAGGAAAGAUCAAAACGAUGCACUGCAAGUGUGAUUGGUCCAGAUAGCUGCCUUAUCCAACUGCCUCCUUUGGACCACUUCAUCAUGGGACAGCUUGAUGCAAUCUACUUGACAAGACCCUGGAACCCCACACCCCUCAUGGAACCAGUGUCCACCUCCCAGUCACAGUGUGACCCCAGGGAACUCUUGCCUGCUUGCUUUAAACCCACCACUUAAAAGUCUCCACAGAAAACCUGUUUGAAUAGUACCCUUGACCCAAUAAGGGCAUUGGCCCCUGGGUGUCUCUCUCUCUCUCUCUCUCUCUCUCUCCCUCUCUCUCCCUCUCUCUCUCUCGCUCCCUGACCUCUGCGUGUGGACUCCAGGCAUGCCAUAUACCCCUCAGGACCUGUAAGUAAUACUAUCUUUAUUUUUAUUUUAUAUCUCUCCUAAUCAUUGAAAAGGUGCUCUCUAUCUUGAAGAUACUAUAUUAAAUAAAAUGAGAACUUGUCCCUAACACAGUUAGUGAUAGGCUGAAACACGCUGAUUGCACUCUUUACCCAUUUAGUGAUUUUUCUCAAGUUACUCUACACCAUGUAUUAUCAACAUAAUUGAUAUUACAGAAUAGAAUUAUAAGACACUUCUUUUGCCACAGAAAGUUCUAUUGGACUCAGAUUAUCUAGAGCUACUACAUGUAUGCUAUUCUAUGAUAAAAGAUGUAGAUGUGAUAAAAACAUUUAUAAAAUAUCUGUCUUAGAAAAGUUAGCUAAAAUUAUUUUGGGAAAAGUAUGUUUGAAAAUAGAAUCGUAAGCUACCACAUUGUGAUAAAUAUUUCUAAAUGUGUCUAUUAACUUGUCAGGAGACAACAGAGUGAAUUAAAACAGUAGCCUUGUAUCAGUAUGUUUUUAUUCAGAAGACAAAUGCACGUUUUAACUAUUAUAUGUUCUUGGCUUAACUUUUUUUGUAAAGUUAAGACAUUACACUUUUACAUGAAUCUGUAAUUUCAAGAUAUCUUAAUGGUUGACAGGGACAGGACAAUUGAAGAAAACCUGUAAAUACAUUUGGUAAAAUUUAUGAUGGAUUGUUUUGCAGAUGGCUUCAGAGGUUAUUAGCACAUCUGUUUGAGAUAUGCACAGUUUUACAUUUGUCCCUUAGGUAAUCAACAGGGCUGAGAUCAGUAAAUCACAUGUAAGCCACUGUUAUGAGGCUAUUCUGAAUAGAGUUACAUCAUUUUAUCAUAUCUAGACUUUCUAGUUAUAUUGGUGCUGUUGAAAAUGAUUUUGUAUUACAUGCUUUCUUCCAAAUCAUAGAUCAAGAUAUUUUAUUUAUGUAUGUCUUUUAAAUGAAGAGUGGUUAGGAUAGUCCUGAUUAUUGCACAUAAAUAUUGCCUUUCACUAGAUUAUUGUUUUGGGCCAAAUUUUAGACUAUUAUUUUAAAAAAGAGUACCUUAGUUUAAUCCAACCUUUCCAGAUACUUAGAAAUUAUUGAAAUGUAUAUUUUGUGAAGAUGGUCUUAUGAAAGUUGUUGAGCUAGAAACAUGUCCUUCACCAGUGGAAUUCUUAGAAGCUUUCCUUGGGCUUCACUGGGUGCUAAUAGACCAUGAUCGUAUUGCUCUGUAUAUAAUGGUACAAAUUUUGUUUUAUAACACUCAGUCUUAAUAGAAUGGGAAUAUUUUAUCUUACUAACGUAGUCAUUAGCUGGCCACUCUCUGUGUCCAUUGGACCUUAUAGGGUAAAGGGAGGGCAGUGCGUAUUUGAAGCCUGUGCACGUGACACACAAAGGGCUUAGCAACCUCCGUGUUUUCCCAGCACAGGAUACCCAUUCUUCCUGAAUGUUUCAUUGUUAAAUUAGAUUGUGUGUGUGUGUGUGUGUGUGUGUGUGUAUUUUAUAUUAACAUACAGAUGUAUGUAUUUUAGUUGCAUUUUUUUUCUUAAAAUGUUAUUUUUUCUCUUUUUCUUUUAUGUCAGGUGAUGAUAGAGCCCCUAGGGAAGCAAAACUGUCCAUGCCCUUGCCUUAACUUUCAGAUACGAUAAAAACAACAUUUAUAAAAUACCUGUCUUAGAAAUAUUAGCUAAAAUUAUGUUGGGGAAAGUAUGUUUGAAAAUAGAAUUGUAAGCUACCACAUUGUGAUAAAUAUUACUAAAUUUGUUUAUUGACUUGUCAGGAAGCAAAAGAAUGAAUUAAAGAAAACUCCAGAGAAUGAGCUGACAACCUACUCCCUGGUCAGUGGCUCUCCAUGCCUACCUGUGGUCUCUUGGACACCCUUGCAGAAGAUGACUUCCUGGGAACUCUUCUGGGAGUGAAUGUUAUCAGCAAAUUCCCAAAACAACACCCCUUAGACAAAAAGCCUCCUCACCUAUGCAUUGCCUAGACCACCCACUAAAGGUGAUGGCCACAAAGAGGUGGAUUUGUUGAGUUGGUGCCAUUCCUUCUACUGCCAGCUUCACCAAAACAAUGACACAGUCUUCCUUCCGCAUGGAGACUCUUCUCUUUCCUGUGUUGCAGUGGAUGCCUCCUGCAGAUAAGAAAUGCUUAACUGAGAAAUGCUCAUGUUGGGAUAUCAUCGAUGAGACUUUAAUUUGGGCAUGGUGACUGUUUCCCUUGCUGCCACUUGACUCAAUCCCAGGAGCCUCAGUAGAGGAUAUAAUAUUACACAAGAUGCUCAAAAUGGUGGAAUUGCUCAGUGCUCCCAUAAAUAUACAUUUAUAAUUUUCAUUUGCCACAUGGUAAACUGAAAAAUACAGACUAUAUUAAAAAGAAACUGCAUGAUUUUUUUUCAAAAAUUCAAAGCAUAUUUAAAUAAUAUAUAAAUUAAAUGCCCUCCUCUCUUCCAAUUCUGUCCCUAUAGUUUUCCUCUAUUAAGUGAACUACAUGCAUUCUUUUAGUGGAUAGAUGCACACAAACACACAAGCCAUUAUGGGGAAGGAUCCACGUGUGUGGCCAUAUUGUAACACAUUUUUCUGCAAAUCACCUCUUUCAUUUAACAGCCCUUAUUCAAUGGCCUUUUUCUUUUUCAGUAGUACAUACACAUCUGUGUCAUUUGUUGAAUGACGACAUGAAUGUUUUGUAGAUAAAAUAUAAUUAAAUGUUUUAAGCAUUUCUCACUCAUAGAUAUUUAUGUUAGCACCAAAUUUCUGUGCAAUGAACCUCCCUAUAUAUCAGUAAUUUUGCAUUUGUCUAUAAUAUCAUAAUAAAUUACUUAUCAGUUGAAUUACUGGGAUUAAGUAUGUGCACACUUUAUAUUUAUAUUUUGAAAAUUAUUGCAAGAUUGCCUUCAAAAAUGUGGUUAACAACUUUAUCUUCAAAUGGCAAUGAAUGAGAUUGCCAGCUUUCCUACAGCCUCACAGACAAUGGAUUUUAUAAAUAUUUAACAUUUUUGCCAAUGUGAUCACCCAAACUAUUGUCUUAAAUUGUAUCUCUUUUGUUUUUGAGUUUGGUCAUUUUUUCAUGUUUAUUAGCCAUCUGUAUUUUUUAAUUUCUUCUUUAUGUCCAAUUUUGUGGGUGGGAGGAGGAUUUAGUCUCUUCCUGAUUUCGAAGAGCUCAUUUACUAUUUCGGGAAAUAAGAUUUGGAUUGUCAACCAUUAUAGCUAUUUUUUACACACUUUUCAACUUUGUUUUUGUUAUAAGAAUGUGUAUGAUUGUUACAUGUCCAAGUAUAACCAUGUUCGCUUUUAUGGCUUCUGAGUUUCAUGUCAUUUUUGGAAAGAUAUAUAUAUUGAGUCCAUAAAACCCUUCACCUAUGUUAAAUUCUAAUUCUUUUGUGUUUUUUUAAUUCAAAUUCUUAAAUCAUGAGAAAUUUUUUUGUUUUGAAAUCUUAAAGUUGCCAAGUUACUUGCCAUUACUUGCGAUUAUUUGCCAAUAAUUGCCCAUUUAUCUGUACCGCCAUCUUGCGCAUAUGCUGUACUCUCAUCUGUGACUGGCUCCAUUUUUGUUCUGUGGAUUUGUGUGUCUCUUCUUCUGCCUCCUGUCUCGUGUCUGCUCGUUGGAAGAAAUUACAGUUUAGACUGCAAUUUCAUCAACUUUAAUAAAUCAAUUGAGGGGAGAAUUGGUUUUUAAAAAUAUUAAGUAAGUCUUCGUAUCCAAGGACAAGGUAUGUCUUUUCUUAUUCAAUAAUUUUAAUUACUGUUAAUAUUUUCACUGUGGUGAUGGGAGUUUUUCUUUUAAUUUAUUUUCUUGUUCAUUUUUUGUAUCUAAAGUUUUUGUUUUGUUUUGUUUUGGGGGUAAGUUGUCACCUUACUGUUUCUUGUUGCUUUUCAGAUUUUUUCAAAGUAUAGACUAAAUCCUUCACAAAUAUUUAAAGUUUUUAUUUUCCCCCUUCAUAUUGAUCCUGAUUUUAGUUAUGUUGACAAAGUCCACAGACUGUUACUAUCAGAACACUUGAACAGUUAUGGAAAUAUUACCUACCCUUGAUUUAAUCAGAGUUUAAUGGUAUGCUUCUUUGGUUUGACUGGCACAUUGUCGCUGGUCAUUUCCUCCCAAAGACCACCAGAAAGAGCUAUGAUCAAGCAAAGCUGAGUUUGUUAAACUUACCUGCAGCAAGGGAAAACACCACCUUGAUAGGGUUUAAUAAUGUUUCAAAAUCAAGAAAUGAGGCUUUGGGGUCUGGGCAGGGAACUAAUUAGAAAUGGGCAAAAUUUGUCAUGCAAUACCUUGUGGGAAAGUGAGAUGAGGUUCUUAAUGUGAGUAUUGAUGGUGAAAUCAUUUUCUAGGUGAGCUGUUUGCCUAUAUAAAGAUGUUAUCAAUGACAGAAGAACUAUUUGCCUAGAUAAACAAACUGAAUUUAUUUAUUGGUUUACAGUUUUAUCUUGCUGGGCAGGACUCUGCUGGGGGUGGUAUCAGGUCUUAUUCCCAAUAGGUAAGUUAUUUGGAUAUGGGUGGUCUUAAUCAUCAAUGUGUAAAAUGCUGAUUUUAAGUGCGAAAUACUUUGUCUACCAUGUUAGGAAAGUCUGCCACCUUUUAUCUUUUUUAAGGAAUUUUAAUCAAAACCAGGUGGUAGAUAUAAUCAAAUUGUUUUGCAGAAUCAAUUUUCCUGUUCUCUUUAAAGACUUUUAUCACUGUGAAUUAAUUUACUAUUAUUGCAACUUCCUUUAAUUCCUUGAAUGAACAGACCCUACUGGUUUUAAAAAUGUUUUAUUCUUUUAAUUUACUACUUAAUUGUGGGUAUUUUAAUUUGAUUUGGAAUUUUUACAAGUAUACAACUAAGUGAAAUUGAUCUGUGAUUUUUCUUUUUUGUGCUAUUUUUGUCAUGUUUUGAUAUCAGAUAUUCUGGUUGUGUUAAAAUAAUUUUGAGGAUUUUCUUCUUAUACUGUGUUCUAGAGUGGGUAAAAAAGCCCUAGUCUCACUAUCAGUGUUUAAGUGAACACAUCAGUGACAUCAUCUGGACUCUCCUUUGUUUUUGCUGGUUUGGAGUUAGGACAUCUAGAAGUUUUUUUCUUUUUUUCCUUUUUUUGUAUGGUUAUUGCUUGUUCUUUGUUUUGUGUCAAAUUUAACCUGUUUUCUCUUAGCAAAUCACAGCUCAUGCAGAUUUUCAAACACAUUAGCCUUGUUAUACAAAGUGUUCUUUCAUCAUUCUAUUAAAUUUCCAUUUUCAUUCCAGUUAUAGUUAUUUCUGCUGUGCCUUUGUUAAUGAAUAAGUUUAAACAGUGGAUGUUUAGCAUCACUAGCCUUCCCCUUCCAUCUCCCUUAAUCAGGACCUUGGUAUAAUUUAUCAGGUAUUUUUUAAGGUUCUAAUUUACUUAUAUAUAUUGUUUCUGUAUUCUUUUGUUUCUUUUCUUAAUAAAUUCUUAAACCUGUGUAACACAUUCAUAUUCACUUGUUCUUGGCAAUGAAAGAUUUACCCUGCUGUGCAUUUUAUAAAACUUGUCAUUAUGAACACAUUGUAA